rnacentral:rRNA from 1 species
CGCGCAGGCGGUUCUUUAAGUCUGAUGUGAAAUCUCGCGGCUCAACCGCGAGCGGUCAUUGGAAACUGGGGAACUUGAGUGCAGAAGAGGAGAGUGGAAUUCCACGUGUAGCGGUGAAAUGCGUAGAGAUGUGGAGGAACACCAGUGGCGAAGGCGACUCUCUGGUCUGUAACUGACGCUGAGGCGCGAAAGCGUGGGGAGCGAACAGGAUUAGAUACCCUGGUAGUCCACGCCGUAAACGAUGAGUGCUAAGUGUUAGAGGGUUUCCGCCCUUUAGUGCUGCAGCAAACGCAUUAAGCACUCCGCCUGGGGAGUACGGUCGCAAGACUGAAACUUAAAAUAAUUGACGG